rnacentral:ncRNA from 2 species
ACCCAUCAUUAAGAGAGUGGCGAAAGCCUCACCAACCUGCCUAAACCGGGCAAGGUGGUUACGCAAAAGCGGAUGUGACCUUCGGUAACCAAACGGCCAAGC